UAGAAGUCAGGUCGGAUUAAGCCAUAGUACGGAAAAAACUAUGCUACCUGUGAGCCCCGUCCAAGGACGUUAAAAGAAGUCAGGCCACUACAAGUGCCACAGCUUGAGCAAACUGUGCAGCCUGUAGCUCCACCUGGGAAGGUGUAAAAAAUCUGGGAGGCCACAAACCAUGGAAGCUGUACGCAUGGCGUAGUGGACUAGCGGUUAGAGGAGACCCCUCCCUUGCAAGUCGCAGCAACAAUGGGGGCCCAAGGUGAGAUGAAGCUGUAAUCUCACUGGAAGGACUAGAGGUUAGAGGAGACCCCCCCGAAAUAAAAAACAGCAUAUUGACGCUGG
rnacentral:lncRNA from 1 species